rnacentral:rRNA from 1 species
GAUCAUGGCUCAGGAUGAACGCUAGCGACAGGCUAACACAUGCAAGUCGAGGGCAGCAUAAAAGUAGCAAUACUUGGUGGCGACCGGCGCACGGGUGAGUAACGCGUAUGCAACCUACCUAUCAGAGGGGAAUAACCCGGCGAAAGUCGGACUAAUACCGCAUAAAACAGGGGCACCGCAUGGUGAUAUUUGUUAAAGAGAUUCGCUGAUAGAUGGGCAUGCGUUCCAUUAGGUAGUUGGUGAGGUAACGGCUCACCAAGCCGACGAUGGAUAGGGGAACUGAGAGGUUGGUCCCCCACACUGGUACUGAGACACGGACCAGACUCCUACGGGAGGCAGCAGUGAGGAAUAUUGGCCAAUGGGCGGGAGCCUGAACCAGCCAAGUCCGCGUGAAGGAAGAAGGAUCUAUGGUUCGUAAACUUCUUUUGCAGGGGAAUAAAGUGCAGGACGUGUCCUGUUUUGUAUGUACCCUGAGAAUAAGGAUCGGCUAACUCCGUGCCAGCCGCCGC